AUUUAUCUGUCGUGGUAGUAUCAAUAAAAAAACGUCAAUCCCUCCUUUUAAAGGGAAUAAGACGACCGUAAUGCAAGCAAUAAGUUACCGACAGAACGAUAAACAAUGGUCGGGAAGCACGUUAGUUUGCAUUGCAUAUUGACCUACCGCAAUCUCGUGCUGACCGUGCACCAGCGUACCGGCAACGUUAUCGAGGAGUUAGCACGUACCUCAUAUUGGAUUACUAGGAAUCCUCUUAUGAUACGCACGCAGUCUUCAAGGCCGCCCGGCGACCUUUGGCAUUACGACAAAUCGAAAGGAAUUGAUUUUCAUCCCUGAAGCCUCCUAAAGACAAACGCGAUAAUCAAGAAAACGGUGGAAGUUGAGUGAUCGAUUCAGAUAUCUGUUACGCCUGUCGAGUAAAUAAUUAGAAAUUUCGGGAAUGGAAAGCAGUAUCAA
rnacentral:misc_RNA from 1 species